GAUGAAUGCUGGCGGCGUGCCUAACACAUGCAAGUCGAGCGGUAACAGGAGUAGUUUACUACUUGCUGACGAGCGGCGGACGGCUGAGUAACGCGUGGGAACGUGCCCCAAAGUGAGGGAUAAGCCCCAGAAAUGGAGUCUAAUACCGCAUAUGAUCUUCGGAUUAAAGGAUUUAUCCGCUUUGGGAGCGGCCCGCGUUAGAUUAGGUAGUUGGUAGGGUAAUGGCCUACCAAGCCGACGAUCGAUAGCUGGUCUGAGAGGAUGAUCAGCCAGACUGGGACUGAGACACGGCCCAGACUCCUACGGGAGGCAGCAGUGAGGAAUCUUCCACAAUGGGCGAAAGCCUGAUGGAGCAACGCCGCGUGAAGGAUGAAGGCCCUCGGGUUGUAAACUUCUUUUAUAAGUGAAGAAUAUGACGGUAACUUAUGAAUAAGCACCGGCUAACUACGUGCCAGCCGCCGCCGUAA
rnacentral:rRNA from 1 species